rnacentral:tRNA from 1 species
GGGCCCAUAGCUUAGUCUGGUAGAGUGCUGGUCUUAUAAGCCAGUGGUCCUGAGUUCGAAUCUCGGUGGGCCCA